UGUCGCCGAAACACAUGAGGACUAGCAGGCAAUACAUGGCGUAUUGAAGACUAUCCACAGUGCAAACAGGAUGUCCAGAUUUCAACAGCGAUUCAAAGCGAUCAAGAAGGAUUUGCAGCACCCAUUUUCGAGCGUCAGCAUAGGACUUCACCCGCGAAGGAUGAAGGAUUUCUGAAGUGAGGUUCCGCCGGAGGAGACGCCAAGUGGGGCCGUAAAAGGCCAUGUUGAUAUUAUGCUGAUUGCUACUGGUGAUUUUACCAGUAGCAAGAGCCGGAGGGCGGUCAGCAAAAAGCGCACCGUUCUGGAUCAAGGCAUGGUGGGCAAGG
rnacentral:misc_RNA from 1 species